UACGUAGGGGGCAAGCGUUGUCCGGAAUCAUUGGGCGUAAAGAGCGUGUAGGCGGUUCAGUAAGUCUGCUGUGAAAGUCCAAGGCUCAACCUUGGGAUGCCGGUGGAUACUGCUGAGCUAGAGUACGGAAGAGGCGAGUGGAAUUCCCGGUGUAGCGGUGAAAUGCGCAGAUAUCGGGAGGAACACCUAUUGCGAAGGCAGCUCGCUGGGACGUCACUGACGCUGAGGAGCGAAAGCGUGGGGAGCGAACAGG
rnacentral:rRNA from 1 species